ACGAACGCUGGCGGCGUGCUUAACACAUGCAAGUCGAACGGUGAAGCGCCUUCCUUUUUGGUGGGUGUGGAUGAGUGGCGAACGGGUGAGUAACACGUGAGUAACCUGCCCCCUUCUUCUGGAUAACCGCAUGAAAGUGUGGCUAAUACGGGAUAUUCUGGGUCUGUCGCAUGAUGGGUCUGGGAAAGAUAUUGUUUCGGUGGGGGAUGGGCUCGCGGCCUAUCAGCUUGUUGGUGGGGUGAUGGCCUACCAAGGCGGUGACGGGUAGCCGGCCUGGGAGGGUGGACGGUCACACUGGGACUGAGCCACGGCCCAGACUCCUACGGGAGGCAGCAGUGGGGAAUAUUGCACAAUGGGCGCAAGCCUGAUGCAGCGACGCCGCGUGAGGGAUGGAGGCCUUCGGGUUGUGAACCUCUUUCGCCAGUGAAGCAGGCCUGCCUCGUUUGUGGGUGGGUUGACGGUAGCUGGAUAAGAAGCGCCGGCUAACUACGUG
rnacentral:rRNA from 1 species